UUUAGGCUCCUUAUAAAUUUUAUCAGACUUCUUGGAAAGCAAAACCAGAUUAAUACCCGUAAGACAACACAAAGAGGCAAAGGCCACCGACCACGACGACAAGCCUUCAACGGCGACAAAAGAGCCUUCAAUGGUGAACCACGACCACGAGCCUUCAACGGCAGCAAGCUUUCAACUUCAGAAAGGAAUGUAAUUGGACGUAAGAAACGGGGAGAAAAUUGUGAUAAUGAAUGAGCUAAACCACACAGUUAACAGUUCUGUUAACCGUACAAUUAGUUCAGUAUUUUUAAACCGAAUUGUUAAACAGUACAAUUGAUGGUUUUUAGUAAAUAUAAUUUCAGUUUCUUAAGUACAAAAUAGUAUAGAUAAACUAUAAUUUAUAGUUUUUAUGUGAACUGUUCCCAGCCCUAUUUAAAAUGAUUCAGAGAAAACAAAGAAGAAAAGUCAACUGACUCUCGAACCAAUCCCACCGAAACAAAGAGAAAUCAUGUUCAUAUUAUCCAAUACUAUUUUUAUUAUUUUUGUUAGACCAAUAUUGUACUAUUACAACAAUUGAAUUAAUAUACAAUUAAGAAACGUGGUUGAAGACA
rnacentral:lncRNA from 1 species